GACGAACCGAGCGAACGUUAUUCGGAAUCACUGGGCUUAAAGGGCGCGUAGGCGGGCCGUCAAGUCAGGGGUGAAAGCCCCCAGCUCAACUGGGGAAGUGCCUCUGAUACUGGCGGCCUCGAGGGAGGUAGGGGCGUGCGGAACUUCCGGUGGAGCGGUGAAAUGCGUAGAUAUGCGGAGGAACACCGAUGGCGAAGGCAAUCCCCUGGACCUGUACUGACGCUCAUGCACGAAAGCGUGGGGAGCAAACAGG
rnacentral:rRNA from 1 species